UUAGAAAGAUGGUUUCGGCUAUCACUUUAGGAUGGACCCCGCGGUGCAAGUUAGUUAGUUGGUGAGGUAAAGGCGCACCAAGACCGUGAUGCAUAGCCGACCUGAGAGGGUAAUCGGCCACACUGGGACUGAGACACGGCCCAGACUCCUACGGGAGGCAGCAGUAGGGAAUCUUCCACAAUGGACGAAAGUCUGAUGGAGCAACGCCGCGUGAGUGAAGAAGGUUUUCGGAUCGUAAAACUCUGUUGUUGGAGAAGAAUGUAUCUGAUAGUAACUGAUCAGGUAGUGACGGUAUCCAAUCAGAAAGCCACGGCUAACUACGUG
rnacentral:rRNA from 1 species